CGGAUCCAUCUUCCCUUAUCUUCCUCUCUCUCCCUUUCUCUUCUUCUUCUUCCAUUUUUCACUUUCCUCCUUCAUUUUAUUUUCCCGAAUGCUCUAGUGGUCUUUUGCAUCAAAGGUGGGAUUCAUGUCGGAGGUGGAGUCGCAUCGAAGGAGGGUUCGCAUAGGCCAGGUUGGUUCGCAUGGGUGGGUUCAUUCCAGUCGUGACGGUGGAACUAGCAUUUGUGGGUUCAUGUUGUCGACAUUGGCUUUCACCUGGGGCACUCGUGCACGAAGGAUGGAUCAUGAAGGUUGGGCUUAGGCAUGGUGGUGGUGAUUUUCACAGACCUUAGGCCAUGUUAUUGUGGUGGUUUUCUGUUUUGAUUUUCUUUCUUUCAUUUGUUAGAGAAGGCAUUGUUUUUCUAUUAAGACAAUCACUUCACACGACAACAAACCCAUUGAUUACCACCUUCAACAUUGAAAUUUUUCUUCUUCAGAUCCAACGUACAACUUUCAACAUUCAUCACAUCCAUUCUAAAAUAAGUAGGAAUUCUAAUUGCUGCAAACA